rnacentral:lncRNA from 1 species
GGAGAUUGGCUUGGCCAUUUGAGCAAUUACUCAUCUUGUAGAUCGUGGAGAGUGGUGGUGAGAUGAAGUGAGAGGUGGAAAGCAGGAGGGAUUAUGUUAAUUAAGUUCUUGUGGUUGUUGUUAGAUCAGUCAUCAAUGGAUACCAGUACAUGGCUGUGAUCAUGUCAUCUUGUGCUUCCCAUGGAGGUUGCAGAAACAAUUGUUCCCAUUUCCAGCAACUUGAAGAGCUGUCAGAUCCCAAAAAUGGGGAGAAAAACAGAUUCCAUCGCACAGAACUGCCGGUGCAACACAAAUUUGUCCCUUCAUUUCUGCUAUUAUAAAAUGCAAGUUGGUUCAAUUAUAACUUCAAACAAUCACUUCAUGGUUGUAGCAAAUUAUUUGUGAUCAUAAGAUUAGGUUAGUGUCAGCAUUAAUUAGUGAAGAUUGAUCUUAGUACCAUGAACUUCAUAGCACUAAUUAAAUAUAGGCAUAAGUGCUCCUUUUCUGUUUUGUCAAUGCUAUCGAAUUUUAUGGAACCACAUGCUUGCCCUCUCCAAACUCUGUAUUAGAGCAGUCAAAGGUCUUGCACGGCUUCCAGGCAAUAUUAUUGGAAAGAAUCAUUCCUAGCAAUUGAAUAUAACUGAUUGUUUUUCGGUAGCAAACACUAAUUAAGGAUCAUUAUAUGAUCUACUGCAUACCUCUUUUUACUAGAGCCUGUAGCUGACUUGCUGUGUACGGGAAUCUUCAUGUACUCUGUACUUUG